UACGUAGGGUGCAAGCGUUGUCCGGAAUUAUUGGGCGUAAAGAGCUCGUAGGCGGUCUGUUGCGUCGGCUGUGAAAACCCGGGGCUCAACCCCGGGCCUGCAGCCGAUACGGGCAGACUAGAGUUCGGCAGGGGAGACUGGAAUUCCUGGUGUAGCGGUGAAAUGCGCAGAUAUCAGGAGGAACACCGGUGGCGAAGGCGGGUCUCUGGGCCUUACCUGACGCUGAGGAGCGAAAGCGUGGGUAGCGAACAGG
rnacentral:rRNA from 1 species